rnacentral:lncRNA from 1 species
GCUCAUUCAUCAACUCUACUUCCUCGUGGCUGUACUUGAACCUGACAUAUCCUAAUCCUAUGUCAAUGCCCCCAAGUUGAAGAGUCAUUAGAUUGUACCGGAAUUUCCAAUCAUGUGACCUCCGUAUCGUUAGUUGGCAUAGCUUUACUCUCCAGUUUGUCACCAUUGGCCACUUUAACUGUCAUGGUUCUGGUUUCUUUAGUAGCAUAAUCCAGUUUUCUAACUAGCCUCUCAUCUAUAAAGCUGUGAGCACUCCCCUUGUCUAUCAAGAUAGAGAUCUUCCUUCCCUUGAUUAUUCCAAGGACUCUUAUUGUCUUAUGCUUUAAAUUUGCGGUCAAGGCACUAAUAGAGAUCUUCAUUAUCUCAUCACCCUCUUGUUCACCUUCUGAUUCGAACUCUUUGUCCUCCUUUGGCCCACUCUCCUCAUCUUCAUCUAUCAACAUAAAAUUCUGGGACCUAUGCCCUAUGGGCUAUGGCAUAUUUCUCAUCAAAUUUGUAACAAUGUCCCAGGUUUCUUUUGGUUUGGAAGUCAGUGGGUGUGAUGGUCUUGUAAUUGUUUGGUGAUUUAUUGACUUUUGGCUAUGGGCCAUUUGGUUUUGUUUCAUCAGGAGGUUUUGAGGGGUGGGAAUUCCAUUUGUUGUGGUUUAGUGAAAAGUUUUUGGGUAUUUGGAAUCUGUUAAUGGCUAGGAGAUUGAUUCUUGAAGGCAGGCAAUUUCAAAGGCCUUGGAUAAGGUAUCUGGUUUCAUCGUUAUGACCGUGGACCUUAUCUAUCCUUUUAAUCCACUUGUGAUGCUGGAGGUUCCACAAAGAUGGAAAGUGAAUCACAAAUAUUUCUUUAAUUGAGGCAAUUUGAUCCGUUUUUAGUUAUUUUAGUUAAUUUUAUUAUUUUUUUACCAUUUAAAGUAAUAUUUUGUUUCUUUUUUUUCUAGGUGAUUUAGAAUCCAAAUUGAGCCAAAAUUUUGGCAACUUACUUCUUUUAUUCCAUAUUUUAUUUCGGUAAGAUUUUUGAGAUUUUGUUAUUUUUGGUAAUUUUCCAUAAUUUCGUAAUUUUGCAGUUAUUUAACCCGGCUUGUGGGUUAAUUUUCGUAUCUCGAUUAUUAA